AUGGAAGGCAUGGAGUUCUUCAUCGAGGAAUCUGGAGCAGGGCUUGUACCGCGUUUUGAUGCCGGAGUUGUCUUAAGAGAUCAAGUUGCCGGCGCACAACUAGUUGAGGGUGACACGAAUGGAACUGGCGAUGCGAAGGAGGACCUGAUUUCUUCUGUGCCGAUAGGACUAGCUGGAAGCCGCAUGGAUUACGAAGGGGGCGAGGAUAUUGGUGAAACAGUGCGCACUGGGAGGGAGGUCUGCGGCUCGUAUGAUCUUGGCGGCGAAGGGAUGGGUGAUUCCUGCGAGAUAGGCGAUUCAAAUAUUUCGUCUGAUGUCGCGGACCAGGAUGCAGACGACGAGGGCGUGGGAGUAACCAAUGCUAGUCAAUCUUCUUGGACCAGGAGGGUCAGAGUUGGGAAGGCAGAGGAUGAGAGGGAGCCGAGCCCUUCAAGGAUGUCUGCCCUCGAAGCUUCUGUCCGUGCAUAUGUCGAUAAAAAAUCAGGAAAGGUUGUCAAUCCAUCGAUUGGGACUAGUUUGAUUCUGUCGAAGAAGGAUACGAGUUUUACAAUAUGUAUUCCUGGGAGACCGUCUGAAUGUACACCGGAAAAAAUGCAUGCAGGAGAUUGUACUGGCAGAGAAGCGAGAGUGCAAACCACCUACUGA
rnacentral:rRNA from 1 species